GAUGAACGCUGGCGGCGUGCUUAACACAUGCAAGUCGAACGGUGAAGGCGGAGCUUGCUCUGCUGGAUCAGUGGCGAACGGGUGAGUAACACGUGAGCAAUCUGCCCCUGACUCUGGGAUAAGCGCUGGAAACGGCGUCUAAUACUGGAUACGAGCUGCGAAGGCAUCUUCAGCAGCUGGAAAGAACUUCGGUCAGGGAUGAGCUCGCGGCCUAUCAGCUUGUUGGUGAGGUAACGGCUCACCAAGGCGUCGACGGGUAGCCGGCCUGAGAGGGUGACCGGCCACACUGGGACUGAGACACGGCCCAGACUCCUACGGGAGGCAGAAGGGGGGAAUAUUGCACAAUGGGCGAAAGCCUGAUGCAGCAACGCCGCGUGAGGGACGACGGCCUUCGGGUUGUAAACCUCUUUUAGCAGGGAAGAAGCGAAAGUGACGGUACCUGCAGAAAAAGCGCCGGCUAACUACGUG
rnacentral:rRNA from 1 species